rnacentral:rRNA from 1 species
UACGUAGGUGGCGAGCGUUGUCCGGAUUUACUGGGCGUAAAGGGAGCGUAGGCGGACUUUUAAGUGAGAUGUGAAAUACUCGGGCUCAACUUGAGUGCUGCAUUUCAAACUGGAAGUCUAGAGUGCAGGAGAGGAGAAUGGAAUUCCUAGUGUAGCGGUGAAAUGCGUAGAGAUUAGGAAGAACACCAGUGGCGAAGGCGAUUCUCUGGACUGUGACUGACGCUGAGGCACGAAAGCGUGGGGAGCAAACAGG